rnacentral:rRNA from 1 species
UGAGGAAUAUUGGUCAAUAGGCGGGAGCCUGAACCAGCCAAGUCGCGUGAGGGAAGACGGUCCUAUGGAUUGUAAACCUCUUUAGGCGGGGAGCAAUGCCGGGCACGCGUGCCCGGAGGGAGAGUACCCGCAGAAUAAGCAUCGGCUAACUCCGUGCCAGCAGCCGCGGUAAUACGGAGGAUGCGAGCGUUAUCCGGAUUUAUUGGGUUUAAAGGGUGCGUAGGCGGAUUUUUAAGUCAGCGGUAAAAUGUCCGGGCUCAACCCGGGCCGGCCGUUGAAACUGGGGAUCUUGAGUGGGCGAGA